GCAAAUCCUCACUCUCACUCAAAGCAAUACACGCCAAAGGCAUGAAAGAAAUUCUGAAAAGUUUGAUUAAAAGCUACCUCUUACAAUUGUUUCUUAUCCUUAUAUAGUAAGGAGAAAAACAAAUAAAACCCUAAGAUACUCUUCUUGGGCCUGACUUAAACACAUAAGGCCCAAGCCCAAUCACACACUAAAAUAACACAUAAGUAUUAAAACAUAAGCCCAAAACAUGGCCC
rnacentral:lncRNA from 1 species